rnacentral:rRNA from 1 species
GACGAACGCUGGCGGCGUGCUUAACACAUGCAAGUCGAACGGUGAAGCGCUUGCCUUUUUGGUGGGUGUGGAUGAGUGGCGAACGGGUGAGUAACACGUGAGUAACCUGCCCUCUUCUUCUGGAUAACCUCAUGAAAGUGGGGCUAAUACGGGGUAUUCCGGGUCUGUCGCAUGGCGGGUUUGGGAAAGAUUGCGCCUUUGGGUGUUUUCGGUGGGGGAUGGGCUCGCGGCCUAUCAGCUUGUUGGUGGGGGGAUGGCCUACCAAGGCGGUGACGGGUAGCCGGCCUGAGAGGGUGGACGGCCACACUGGGACUGAGACACAGCCCAGACUCCUGCGGGAGGCAGCAGUGGGGAAUAUGGCACAAGGGGCGCAAGCCGGAUGCAGCGACGCCGCGUGAGGGAUGGAGGCCUUCGGGUGGUGAACCUCUUUCGCCAGUGAAGCAGGCCUGCUCCUGUGUGGGUGGGUUGACGGUAGCUGGAUAAGAAGCGCCGGCUAACUACGUG